AUGGUUACAAGUCGUAAUAAAACGGCACGGAUUUUGUGUUCUCUGCCCCAUCUCAGCAAACCGUGGACUCUUCAGGUUGUUCCAGGAAGCUGUAUCAUUUUCCAUACUGACCCCCAGCCUGAAGCCUGGGACAGCAGGUUCCUCUCCUGUAAUCCGGUGUUAAGGCCCAGGAGGCCAGGGCUCUGCGCGGGGAGCGGCCACGACAGAAGGGAAGGGCGUGCCCCAUGGCACAGAAAGCAGAAGUUGGCUGCGGGAUCAGUAGGACUGGUUUGGGGAUCCUUGAUCGAGGCCACUCCGCUGAUGGCUCAGGCCGUUCCAGUUCCCAGACCGAAGGCAAGAAGGCAGAUUUGCUGUGCUCAGGACUCUUAGUGCCACGCUUCCCUCUGGAGCCCUUGUUACUGCCAGCCGUUCCUUGGCUUCCAGGAUGCAACGCCACGCAUCUGGCCAAAGCAGAGACUUGAAACUAUUGCCAGGGAAGUCAACAAAGACCUUCCCAUGCCUAGAGUGGGCUCCUGCUCGAGACGGGACCAGCUGUGUGCAUCUAGGGAAAUGAGACACGGAGGCAACACGUUCCCUGCACCCUUCCGUUACCUCAGGACCCUCUUGGAGUCUAAGUUGAACAGGAGACUGGGUCUUUUCUCAGCCAGGUGCCUGAAAUGACUGAAGGUAAGGGCGAUGGGCCGCAAGACAUUUCACAGACACAGUCAUUUCCCCUUUGGACAAUAGUCAAUUCAGCUUGCAUUAGGGUGUGUGUGUGUGUGUGUGUGUGUGUGUGUGUAUCACAUAUUAUAUAACAUAGGGUGUGUACUGUAUAUGUACAUCUGCAUAUAUGUGUGUGUGCAUAUAAAAAUGGCUCUGGGCCGCUGGGGGAAUCAGUUCCUUAAGUGUGGGACACUUGGUUUUGGCUUAGGUCAUGAUCUCAGGGUCCUGGUGAGGUUGAGCUCCUGCAUCAGGCUGGGCGCUGGCUCAGAACAGUCGGCUUGAGAGACUUUUCCUCUUCCUCUUCCUCCUCCUCUGCUCCUAUCCCGCUAGCGCUCUCUCUAAAACAAACAAACAAAAACUUAUAAAAAAAGGAAUGGUCAAGUCAGAGUACAUUUUUAAAAAAUAUUUUAUUUAUUUACUUGACAGAGAGAGAUCCCCAAAAAUAUAUUUUAUUUAUUUAUUUGAGAGACAGAGGAAGAAUGAGCAGGGGGAGAGGCAGAGGGAAAGGGAGAAGCAGACUCUCCACUGAGCUGGGAAUCUGACAUGGGGUUCAAUCCCAGGAUCCUGGGAUCAUGACCUGAGCCAAAGGCAGCCGCUUAACUGACUGAGCCACCCAGGCACCCCCUCUUUUUUUAAGAUUUUGAAUUACAUUUUAAUUAUGGAUAAACAAAAAUAUAUUUUUCAAUAAGAAUGUUCCAUGCAACAUUUGGGAAAUACUUAUAUGAAAACAUUAUUUGUCAUUUGUUUGAAAUUCAUAUAUAAGGGAAAGUUUUAUGCUUUAUCUGCCAAUCCAAGUUUAUUUCCCAAUCUUGAAAAUCAAGAAGAUUAAGGGGUGCCUGGGUGGCUCCACUGUUAAGCGUCUGCCUUUAGCAUAGGUCCUGAACCCGGGGUCCUGGGACCAAGCCCCAUAUCUGGCUCCCUGCUCAGCAGAGCGCUUGCUUCUCCCUCUCCCUCUGCUGCUCUGGUACUUGUGCUGUCUAUCUCUCACUAUCUCUCUCUCUGUCAAAUAAAUAAAUAAAUAAAUAAAAUCUUUAGGAGCACCUGGGUGGCUCAGUGGGUUAAAGCCUCUGCCUUCAGCUCAGGUCAUGGUCUCAGGGUCCUGGGAUGGAGGCCCGUAUCAGGCUCUCUGCUCUGCAGGGAGAUUGCUUCCUCCUCUCUCUCUCUCUGCCUGCCUCUCUGUCUACUUGUGAUCUCUCUCUCUCUCUGUCAAACAAAUAAAUAAAAUCUUUUGUUAAAAAAUCAAGAAGAUGAAAAUAUUGAUGCAUUUAAAAAUUUUUGAAUUUCUUUUCUUCUGUUCUUUUAUAUAAUACUUUUGAUCAUAAGUGAUAACUGACAUUAUGAAAAUUCAAGGAAUUCAUAGACGUCCAAAGCAGAAAGAACAAAUCUACUCACAUCUCAGGAAGAAAAAAAAUAAUCAGGGCUGGUAUUGGUGAUAUUCAAUAUUGUUUGAUAUUCUCAAGGAUAUCCCUAGGCACACAAGGAUGAAGAAGAAAGGGUGAAUGGAUGCACGUAUGUAGAGAGAGAAUCUAAUAAGACUGGAAUCAUACUACAUAUGCUUUUUAAAAAGUAUUAAAUUCAAAUUAUACUUCAUUUUAUUUUGUUUUAUUUUUAAAUUUUAAAAAACUAUAUAUUUAUUUAUUUGACAAACGCUUCUCGGCCUUUUGGCUAAGAUUAAGUGUAUUUAUUGGACAGAGAGAGUCACAGUGAGAGAGGGAACACGAGCAGGGGGAGUGGGAGAGGGAGAAGCAGGCUUCCUGCCUAGCAGGGAGGGCGACAUGGGGCUCGAUCCCAGGACCCUGGGAUCAUGACCUGAGCCUGAGGCAGACGCUUAACCGACUGAGCCACUCCGGCACCCCAAAUUUUACUUCAUUUAAUAGAAGAAAAAGAAACAUAGGAGAUCGAAAGAACUGCUGAACUUCAGGAAGUUGUUUCUUCACCACAAGAGAUACUAGUUUCACAAAAUCACCCUUUUUUUCUUCUCCAGAGUACUCUGAACUUCUCAGUCUGUUACCUUGUCUCUAAGGCAUAAUAUUUCUUUUUUUUUAAAGAUUUUAUUUUUUUAUUUGACAGAGAGAUAGAGAGAGCGCACAAGCAGGCAGAGCAGCAGGCAGAGGCAGAGGGAGAAGCAGGCUCUCUGAGGAACAGGGAGCCCAAAGCAGGGCUCGAUUCCAGGAUGAUGGGAUUGUGACCCAAGCCGAAGGCAGACGUUUAACCAACUGAGUCACCCAGGCACCCCGAGGCAUAAUAUUUCUUAAGACUCUCCCAAAGAUACCCCCUUAUCCUUAAGAAUAGCUACAGAAUGUUCCAGCAAGUAUGAUCAGGUCAUGUGAGGUCUGAUUUACUACGUAGGACCUCCUGUCCUGGACACUCAGAUGUCUUGGUCCUCAGGGGUCAGAAAUUUGAGAUCAGAACUAGAUAAGCAGAGUGAAGAAUGAAGUUAAAGAUACUCACAGCCAGGGACAGAGAAGAGAGAACAAAGCUUAUAUGAGAGCAGGACUUAGAAACAGAAGAGGGUAGAACAACGGCAUCCUAGGACGGCGAAUUGAAGAGUUUGUUCUUUCUUACUUUCUUACUUUUCAGUGCUUUCAGUGACAUUCUUCUGCUCCAGAGAAUGAAAUUGUUUAAUGUUAGCUUCUCAUGCAAAGGUUGCAAAUUGGCAGCUGCUGCCGGCAUCUAUCCUGCAGAGCUUUUUUGGAUGGUCAGCACGCUUUUCGAGAAAACAGAUUUCAGUUAGGGGCGGCUGGGUGGCUACCAGUCAGUUAAGUGUCUGCCUUCGGCUGGGUCAUGAUCCCAGGGUCCUGGGAUCAAGCCCCACAUGAGACUCCCUGCUCAGCGGGGAGCCUGCUUCUCCUUCUCCCUUUUCCCUUUUCCAUUCUCCCCACCUGUGCUCUCUGGCGCUAUCUCUUUGUCAAAUAAGUAAAUAAAAUAUUUUUUAGGGGUGCCUGAGUGGCUCAGUGGGUUAAAGCCUCUGCCUUCGGCUCAGGUCGUGAUCUCAGGGUCCUGGGAUCGAGCCCCUCGUCGGGCUCUCUGCUCGGCGGGAGGCCUGCUUCCCCCUCUUUCUCUGCCUGCCUCUCUGCCUACUUGUGAUCUCUCUCUCUCCCUGUCUCAAGUAAAUAAAAUCUU
rnacentral:lncRNA from 1 species